rnacentral:rRNA from 1 species
AUUGAACGCUGGCGGCAGGCCUAACACAUGCAAGUCGAACGAGUGGCGGACGGGUGAGUAAUGUCUGGGAAACUGCCCGAUGGAGGGGGAUCACUACCGGAAACGGUAGCUAAUACCGCAUACCAUCGGAUGUGCCCAGAUGGGACUAGCUAGUAGGUGGGGUAACGGCUCACCUAGGUGACGAUCCCUAGCUGGUCUGAGAGGAUGACCAGCCACACUGGAACUGAGACACGGUCCAGACUCCUACGGGAGGCAGCAGUGGGGAAUAUUGCACAAUGGGCGCAAGCCGGAUGCAGCCAUGCCGCGUGUAUGAAGAAGGCCUUCGGGUUGUAAAGUACUUUCAGCGAGGAGGCGUUACUCGCAGAAUAAGCACCGGCUAACUCCGUGCCAGCAGCCGCUGUAAUAC